rnacentral:rRNA from 1 species
AUUCCAGCUCCAAUAGCGUAUAUUAAAGUUGUUGCAGUUAAAAAGCUCGUAGUUGAAGAUAAGAGUUUCUUCACUUGAACAAAGUUCAGGUGACUAAUCUCAUUUUUCGCAAAGACGGUAGGGCAUAUUGAUUUAUGCUUUAUUUGAGUUGCGUCGUUUACUGUGAACAAAUUAGGGUGUUUAAAGCAGGCCUACGUUUGAAUACACUAGCAUGGAAUAAUAAGAUAUGAUCUCGGUUGUAUUUUGUUGGUGUCUCCUGAGAUAAUGAUUGAUAGAAACUGUUGUGGGUAUUCGUAUGAGCAUGUCAGAGGUGAAAUUCUUGGAUUUUGAUCAGACGAACUACUGCGAAAGCAUUUACCAAGGAUGUUUUCAUUA